rnacentral:rRNA from 1 species
AUGGAUGAAUUAGUAGUAGAUCCUCACAGUCCAGAAUAUACUGGUCCACCUCCACUUGUUGAUAGAGAAGCCAAGGAGAACACUUGCUCAGUAGAACCUACUAAAGAAGACAAGGGGAGAGCUCAGAGCAGUGAUAUUACUGAUGAUGAGGCAGUGCAUAUGAACUCUGUUGCAUCGCUCGAGGACUGCUUGACACUUCUUUGCUAUUGUCCAAUUGGAUGGAAAUGUGGUAACUGUUCCAAGGUUGUUGAGCUGCCGAGAACAAAUGGAAGUGAAAAUGGUCAACCGAUGAUAGCAAGUACCAAUGUAAACCCAACAGUUGAAGGAGACCAGACUGAAUUAUCAGACAGGAAAACAUGCCCAAGUGAGCGAUCUAAUGAUUUGAAUAGCUUGUCGGUACAUUACACCUCUCCAAGUAGACAAACACAUGGUUCAGAUGCACAUCACCAAGUUAUUCUUUCUGAAGACAGAAUUAGUGAAGAAAUCACUUCAGGGAUGAGCUAUGAUGAAAAGAACUCGGCCUCUUGCAGCACUACCAAUAAAAAAUCUGAAAGUCACGAAGUUGUUCAGGAAGCUGCACCUACUUCCUUUCCAACUGAUAAGCAGACUGACCUGCUGAGUGCCCAGGAUACUCAGGAUACCAGCGACCAAAAUCUAGGCAGUGGGAAGCAGGUAAAGUUGGAUGAUCAUAGUGCGCAACAAGUGGAAGAAAACCGAAUUGAGCAGAAAUAUGAGACUGGUGGUUUUCAAAUACAAUUGAUUACUAAGCUGCCACCUGUGUUAACCAUUCAACUAAAGAGAUUCACCAAUGCUCUUUCUAAAGUGAGAGGACAUGUGAGCUUUAAGGAGAUUCUUCAUGCAGGACCGUUCAUGGACCCAACUCCAGCUAUCGUCUAG